rnacentral:rRNA from 1 species
UCGCUUCACGAUGAGCCUGCGGCCUAUUAGCUAGUUGGUGAGGUAAAGGCCCACCAAGGCAACGAUAGGUAGCCGACCUGAGAGGGUGACCGGCCACAUUGGGACUGAGAUACGGCCCAGACUCCUACGGGAGGCAGCAGCUGAGAAUCUUCCACAAUGGACGAAAGUCUGAUGGAGCGACAUCGCGUGAGGGAUGAAGGCCUUCGGGUUGUAAACCUCGGAAAUUAUCGAAGAAUGAGUGACAGUAGAUAAUGUAAGCCUCGGCUAACUACGUGCCAGCAGCCGCGGUAAUACGUAGGAGGCAAACGUUGCUCGGAUUUACUGGGCGUAAAGGGUGAGUAGGCGGAUUUAUAAGUCUAAGGUGAAAGACCGAAGCUCAACUUCGGGAACGCCUCGGAUACUGUAGAUCUUGGAUAUUGUAGGGGAUGAUGGAAUUCUCGGUGUAGCGGUGGAAUGCGCAGAUAUCGAGAGGAACACCUAUAGCGAAGGCAGUCAUCUGGGCAUUUAUCGACGCUGAAUCACGAAAGCUAGGGGAGCAAACAGGCUUAGAUACCCUGGUAGUCCUAGCCGUAAACGUUGUACACUAGGUGCUUCUAUUUAAAUAGGAGUGCCGUAGCUAACGUCUUAAGUGUACCGCCUGAGGAGUAUGCCCGCAAGGGUGAAACUCAAAGAAAUUGACGGGUCCCCGCACAAGUGGUGGAGCAUGUGGUUUAAUUCGAUGAUACGCGAAAAACCUUACCUGGGUUUGAAUUGUUAGAUGAAUGAUUUAGAGAUAAGUCAGACCGCAAGGACGUUUAACAUAGGUGCUGCAUGCCUGUCGUCAGCUCGUGUCGUGAGAUGUUGGGUUAAGUCCCGCAACGAGCGCAACCCUCACCCU